rnacentral:rRNA from 1 species
UACGUAGGGGGCAAGCGUUGUCCGGAAUCAUUGGGCGUAAAGCGCGUGUAAGCGGUUCGGUAAGUCUGCUGUGAAAGUCCAGGGCUCAACCCUGGGAUGCCGGUGGAUACUGUCGGACUAGAGUACGGAAGAGGCGAGUGGAAUUCCCGGUGUAGCGGUGAAAUGCGCAGAUAUCGGGAGGAACACCAAUUGCGAAGGCAGCUCGCUGGGACGUCACUGACGCUGAGACGCGAAAGCGUGGGGAGCAAACAGG